rnacentral:lncRNA from 1 species
CUGCUGGUUGAUGUGGAACCCAAUAGAUCACACACAAAAAAAAAUUGGACUUAAACUUUUGAUUAGGCUUGAGAAGUUCUAAAUCAAUAAGGAUUUGGUAGAAAUCCUAAUGGAUUUAAGUCAAAUGUGCUAGCACAUGAUUAAUCCCAUGAAUCCCCAUUUAUUUGGUUUCCUAAUUGGAUUAGGAUUAGUUUAGGUCAAGUUGUUGGCUCCUAACUAACUUUCUCC